GCUCAAGAAACUGCUCUUGCUUCCACCACGGAUAGGUCUAUUUCCAUCACUUUGACCGACCUGGAUGUGCUUGAUUGUCCCAUUUGCUAUGAAUCCUUGACCAUCCCCGUCUUUCAGUGCUCUGGUUUGGGGGUCUAGCGCAAAACACAAGCCCCAAAGAGUUGGAAAGGAGCAUCUGCUCGAAGAUGAGGAUAUUGUUCAGAUUAUCAAAAAGGUGUGAUUUGGCAGGAACUCAGAAAUAUGUGCAACCUUAGUAUCAAGAUAUCGUUUGUAGGACUAAAGCUUUU